rnacentral:ncRNA from 1 species
UAAAAAUUUGAUUUUAGUUUUUAGGUUUAAUUUAUAUUUUUAUUAUAUGUAAAUUUUUGUGUAAGUUUUAUUUAAAUAGCAUAAUUUAAAAUAAAUAAUUUCAAUAAUUAAAUUUUUACAAUAAAAGAAAUUUUGAUAAAGAAAUAUAUAAUAGUAUUGGUAAAAUUUGUGCCAGCAAUCGCGGUUAAACAGGUGAUACAAUUAAAUUUUUUUUAAUAUAUAGUUAAUAUGGUAUAAAAUUAAUUAAAAAUUAAAUUUAAUAAGUGAAAUUAUAAAUUUAAAUAAAAUUAAUAAAUAGAUUAUUAAAUUAUGAAACUUUAUAAUUAAACUAGGAUUAGAUACCCUAUUAUAAGAAGUGUAAAAUAAAAAUAUUAGAGUAGUAUUAGUUAUGUUCUUGAAAUUUAAAAGAUUUGGCGGUAUUUUAGUCUUUUCAGAGGAACCUGUCCUAUAAUUGAUGAUCCACGAUUAAUUGUACUUAAUUUAUUAGUUUAUAUAUCGUCGUAGUUUGAAUAUCUUAAAAGAGAUAAAAAUAUUCAUGAUUUAUAUUAUAUAAUAAAAUAAAUCAGAUCAAGGUGUAGCUUAUAAUUAAGAAGAGAUGGGUUACAAUAAAUUUAUUUAUAAUGGAUAUAGAAUUUAAAAUUUCUAUUGAAGGUGGAUUUGAAAGUAAUAUAUUUAAUUUUAAAUAUAUGAUUUUAGCUCUAAAAUAUGUACAUAUCGCCCGUCGCUUUCAUUGAAAUUUAAAGUGAAAUAAGUCGUAACAUAGUGGGUGUACCGGAAGGUGUACCUAGGUUGUC